rfam:Eggerthella sp. CAG:298, WGS project CBHI01000000 data, contig: 29
CGAUUACAUACGGGGAGCUUGCGCGUUGCAGGCUGAGAGGGAGCGGUGCUCCGACCCGAUGAACCUGUCUGGAUAAUGCCAACGAAGGGAAUGCGAUCAUGACGAUCA